rnacentral:rRNA from 1 species
CUCUGUUUAACAAAAACAUGUCUGUAUGAAGUUAAAUAGAGUCUGUUCUGCCCGUUGAGUUUAUAACUUGAAAGGCCGCAGUAUUUUGACUGUGCAAAGGUAGCAUAAUCAUUAGUUUUUUAAUUGRAGGCUUGAAUGAAUGAUCGAACAAGAACUUAACUGUCUUUUUAAAUAUAAAUUGAAUUUUAUUUUUAGGUGAAAAAGCCUAAAUAAAUAAGAGAGACGAUAAGACCCUAUAAAUCUUUAUGAAAUUUAAUUCUUGAAGCUAAAAUUUUAUGUUAAAAAGUUUUAAUAAUUAAAUCAUUGUACUGGGGUGGUAGAGAUAUAAAAAAUAAACUGUUGUAAAAUUAAACAAAAAUAUUUGUUUGUAAAAGAUCCUAUUUAUGGAUUACAAGAUUAAGUUACUUUAGGGAUAACAGCAUAAUUUCUUUUGAGAGUUCUAAUCGAAAAAGAAGCUUGUGACCUCGAUGUUGAAUYAAGGUAUCCUUUAGGGCGCAGAAGUUAUAAAAGGGAGUCUGUYCGACUUUUAAAUUCUUACAUGAUCUGAGA